CAGUACUAUAACAUCAACUAUUUUUUUUUUUAAUUUAUUGUUCAACGUGAAUUUAAUAUUUUUAGUUAGACAACUAUAUUUUUGAAUAGAUGUACUUUUGAUGCAUAUACUUUCAUUUUCAUUUAAUUUGCAUGAGAACUGUGACGCAUCUUGUGCGUCAAUUUUUAUUAUUUCAUUUAGUCAAUUUCAUUUUUAUUAUUUAUAAACGAUGACACACCAUGUGCGUCUUAUACUAUUAAAAUUAGUGACGCACUAUGUGUGUCUUAUGAGAUAAUUAUUUUUGUUCGGUUUGAAUCAUGUACUUUGAGUUGUAUAAUUCUAUAUUCAACAUUAGUAAUUCUACUUUUCUUACUACUUUUGGCUGCAACGACGCACCGUAUGCGUCUUGCAUUAUUUGUUCAAGGAGUGACGCACAAAGUGUGUUCUAUUGAAAUUAUUAUCAGAUGAAAUUAAAUUUGAUAACUUAAAUUUACUAUUUUGAAUUGGAUAAUAGUACUUUCAUUUUUACUAAUUAUUUAUAAACGAUGACACACCACGCGCGUCUUAUGUUGUUCAAAGAAAUUAUUGACGCACCAUGUGUAUAACUUGUAGACACAACCAUUUGCAACUUUAAUUAAAUAUUUUGAGUUGUAUGAUUCUGUUUCCAAUGUUAAUAAUCCCAUUUUUUAAAUGAAUAUUUUCGAGCAUAAACGACGCACCUAGUGCGUCCUACAUUAUGAUUUAUUCAAAAUACCCAGAGAUGUGACAAGUGUGUUUGGAACUCAUUAUUUACCUUGUACUAAAUAUUUCUGGUCGAAUAAUUCUACUGUUAAUGCUAAUGUUUCUAUUUAUAUCAAUUUAAGACGUUCCUAAUCGUCGACGCACCUGUUGUGUCCUACAUUAAUUUCUUUAACACUAGAAAGACUGAAACUUUGAUUAAUUUUGACUGCUUUGGGGCAAUAUAGGUAUAACACAUAUAUAUAUACCGGAAAUGAAGGAGGGAGGAGGUAACUACAAUUAUUAAUAAACGCAUUUAUAUGUUGUACAAAAAGUCACAAAAUUCUAAGAAGCUGUGUCAUUCUAUACACAAUUGUUUUUCUAAUUGAAAUUGAAAAGCAGUCAAAAUGACUGCCUUAGGCAAUCUAGUGUUAAUGCAAUUGCUAACAUACCAUAUGUGUCUUUGCACAAAUCAAUAUUAUCCUACAAUGCUUAAACAAGAAAAAUGAACAAUUAAACAUAAAUGAAACGAUAAAAUAACAAAAUUAUAUUGAUUUGUACUCAUAAUUGAAAACAUAGAAUUAUACAAAAAUAACAUGAGAGGAAAUUCUCUGCAAAAAUUAAUCACGUUUAGAUUCUUUUGUAACAUGAUUUAAAUUACAUUAAAUUCCUAUAGCAAUAAGAAAUAGUCCGAGUAAAAAUAACUCUAAAUAAUUCUCAUUAUACAUGUAUCUAACCUAACCUAAUUUUCUUCUCAUCGAAGUAUCCUCUAGAGGGUUGAAGGAACUCAAAAGAUUCUUUUCUAAGAAAUUAUAUACACGAUGAAUUCAAGUUGACCACGAUCACGCCACAAAGAUCGCAAUUAGUGUGCGUGCGAGAGUAAAAAGAAGCGACGAAGAAUGUUCGUAAUAUUUGAACAUGUUUAACCGAUGUUUUGGGUGUCAUAGUUUCGGCAAUGUAGUAUACGUUAUUACAUUUCGGUAAUAUAGUGACACACCAACAUGUGAAUGUAAAUAAAGAUUUGUUAUUCAAGGUGUUUAAACAGGUGUUGUUCAAUGCCGAAGCAUAGGCCUCUUUAUUCCGUAAUAUGAACGACUGCAGUUGUUGUAAGAUAGAGCUUAAGACAAGCUUAGCGAGAAAAUUAAUACAUAUAUAUUAUAUAUACAUGCAUACGAUAUAACGAUUAAGUGUUACGAUGUAAAAUGUUAAUAUAUACAGGGUGGACCAGUAAUCGUUAGUAUUUCAAUUAUUUUCGAAAUUGUAUGAGGCAGAAGAAUUAUGGAAAUAAAAGUUACUCUGUGCAAAAGGAACUGUUGUACGGUGACAAAUUUUUUUA